rnacentral:rRNA from 1 species
GACGAACGCUGGCGGCGUGCUUAACACAUGCAAGUCGAACGGAAAGGCCCUGCUUGCAGGGUACUCGAGUGGCGAACGGGUGAGUAACACGUGGGUGAUCUGCCCUGCACUUCGGGAUAAGCUUGGGAAACUGGGUCUAAUACCGGAUAGGACCGCACUUUAGUGUGUGUGGUGGAAAGUUUUUUCGGUGUAGGAUGAGCUCGCGGCCUAUCAGCUUGUUGGUGGGGUAAUGGCCUACCAAGGCGGCGACGGGUAGCCGGCCUGAGAGGGUGUACGGCCACAUUGGGACUGAGAUACGGCCCAGACUCCUACGGGAGGCAGCAAUGGGGAAUAUUGCACAAUGGGCGCAAGCCUGAUGCAGCGACGCCGCGUGGGGGAGGAAGGCCUUCGGGUUGUAAACGCCUUUCGCUAGGGACGAAGCUUUUUGUGACGGUACCUAGAUAAGAAGCACCGGCUAACUACGUG